rfam:Salmo salar isolate Sally breed double haploid chromosome ssa23, whole genome shotgun sequence.
UAGCUCAGUAGGUAGAGCAUGGUGUUUGCAAUGCCAGGGUUGUGGGUUCGAUUCCCAC